rnacentral:rRNA from 1 species
CAGCAGCCGCGGUAAUACGGGGGGUGCAAGCGUUAUUCGGAAUUAUUGGGCGUAAAGGGCGCGCAGGCGGUCUUGUCCGUCAGGUGUGAAAGCUCGGGGCUCAACCCCGGAAGUGCACUUGAAACAGCAAGACUUGAAUACGGGAGAGGAAAGCGGAAUUCCUGGUGUAGAGGUGAAAUUCGUAGAUAUCAGGAGGAACACCGAUGGCGAAGGCAGCUUUCUGGACCGAUAUUGACGCUGAGGCGCGAAGGCGUGGGUAGCAAACGGGAUUAGAUACCCCGGUAGUCCACGCAGUAAACGUUGUACACUCGGUGUAGCGGGUAUUAAAACCUGCUGUGCCCAAGCUAACGCAUUAAGUGUACCGCCUGGGAAGUACGGUCGCAAGACUAAAACUCAAAGGAAUUGACGG